AAACGAUACAAGCUGUCCAUUUAAAAAGUAACAUUAUUCUAUUCCAAGUAGAAGUAGAAAACUCGAAAAUUUAUGUCUAUUUGUAAAUAGAGAAAGAGAGAAAAUUCAUCUGACACUGUGUGCAUCUGACACUGUAAAUUUGUGAUAUAGAUAAUAGUAUAUUAGGAUUAUAGUAUAGAGACCAAGCAAAAGACUACAGCCUGACUAUUAAAUUACCGAAUACAAAUCAUGUACUAAAUCCAAAAUUUUG
rnacentral:lncRNA from 1 species